rnacentral:rRNA from 1 species
UACGAGGAGGGCGAACGUUGUUCGGAUUUACUGGGCUUAAAGGGCGCGUAGGCGGUUUGAUAUGUCGGGGUUGAAAUCCCUCAGCCCAACUGAGGAAUAGGUCCCGAAACUGUCAGACUUGAAUGCAUCAGGGGCGUGUGGAACUCCAGGUGGAGCGGUGAAAUGCGUAGAUAUCUGGAGGAACGCCGGUGGCGAAAGCGACACGCUGGGGUGCUAUUGACGCUGAGGCGCGAAAGCUAGGGGAG